UCCCUUUCCAGCUCACCCCACUGAGUUUUGCUCCCGAUGCUCCUGGUCAGGUCCCCAGUCCCUGCCCUGUUGCCGACUCUAGUGACCACCUUACACUUCUCCUCUUUAGUGAACUCUCAGCAUGAUUUGACACAAAUUUUACUGCUUAUUUUUGAAACACACUUCACUUCUAGACAAUUUUCUGAUCUUCAUUCUGUAUCCUCAGCUGCUUCUCGGCCUUCCCGGCUGGACCCACCUCUUCUUUCUGACCAUAUCUGUGGUACACUGGAGCUCCUAGCUCAGGGCUCUGCCUUCUCUAUAUCCUAAGAUGAUUCCAUCUAGUUUCAUGUCUUUAGAUGUCAUGUACAUCCUACAUCUCCAGCCUCAUCCCCUCCUCUGAACUGCAAAAUCACAGCCUUGUUGAAAUCUCCAGUGUCCAAUAAAUUUCUCAAACUUAGCAUGUACCAAAAAUCUACUCAGAUGUUGAGGUCAAAUAUUAGGAGCCAUCUUUUAAUCCUUUGUUGACUUGAUAUCCUAGAUUGUAUCCAUUUAAAAGUCCUCUGUUUUUCAAGUUAUACCUCAAAUCUAACUACUCUUCAAUUUUGAGAUUACUAUUCUAUUGCGUCACCAUCGUCCGUCAUUUGGACUCACACAAAAGCAUCCUUAUGAAUCAUCUUGCUUCUGCCUGAAACUGCCUCAAAUCUAAUCUCCGCCCAGCAGCCUCAAUGGUAUUUUUAAAAUCUAAGUCCGAUCUUGUCACUUUUCAUUUGAAAUUCUCCACUAUGUUCCUAUCAUAGUCGUGUUGUGCCCGACUCUGUGCGACCCCCUGGACUGCAGCCCGCCAGGCUCCUCUGUCCACGGGAUUCUCUAGGCAAGACUACUGGAGUGGGCUGCCAUUUUCUCCUCCAGGGAUCUUCCCAACCCAGGGAUCGAACCUGCGUCUCCUGCAUUGAUAGGUGGAUUCUUUACCACUGGGCCACCUGGAAAGUCCCAUGUUCUUAUCACACCUAUGAUACAAUCAAAACUUUUAUCAUGUCCAACAACUUCCAUAUACAUUGGCUUUGACCUGUUUCUCUAAUCUAAUUUUCUUUUUUUGUCCUUAUUAUGUACUCUGUUGGGGUUAUAGGAUCUUUCUUAGGUUCUUUGAACGUGCCAGGCUUAUCUACUCCUCAGGAUUCUUGGAGUUACUCUUCCCUGUCUGAGGAGUCUCUUCUAGAUCUUUGGAAGAGUUUGCAUAAGGACUCCUUCCCUACCCAUCAAACCUAAAAUAGUCUUUGCCCCACCACUGUUUCACCACGGUCCCUCAAUCUGAUUAUAUUUUCUUCAGAGCAUUUAUUGGUAUCUGAAGAUACAUCUUUUAUUGCUUUUACUUUCUUUUCUCAGUAUUUCCAAAUAAAUGUAAAUUUCCAAUAGGCAAGGACCUAAAGUUUACUGUUGGAUCUUCAGUGCCUAAAGAAGCCCAGCCUGUAAUAGAUUCUACCUACAAGUGAUAUCAUGUGGCAUUUGUCUUUCUGUCUGACUGACUUCACUCAGUAGCAUAAUGUCUGGGUCCAUCCACGUUGUUGCAAAUGGUGUUCUUGCACCUUUUUACGCCUGAGUGACGCCCACGGCGUUCGGUGCACCGCGCCUCCUUUACCCAUUCCUCUGCUGACGGGCGUCUAGGUCGCUUCCACGUCUUGGCUGUUGUAAACAGUGCUGCGGCGAACAGCAGGCUGCGUGCAUCCUUUCAAACCAUCAUUUUCUCUGGAUAUAUGCCCAGGAGUGGAUUUGCAGGAUUGCAUGCCCAGAUGCGUCAGCUUGAAGACUGUGGUUUGAAGCAACUGGACUUGAGAAUGGAGAAUGAGCUGGCCAGAUAGGAAGCCAGAUCGGGGUGGUUCUGGCACAAUGGAGAGAGAAGAACGGAUCCCGUGGGCACAGACCCAGGACUGUGUGGAGAAGUGUGUGUGACAUUCUGUUGGACGUAAAACCAGCACGUGUCCCAAGGAAAUCAGCAGCAGCGGUUUGAAACAGCAGACUGUAUGCCUAAUACGGCGGUGAACCGGGAGGAGUUGCGGGCACGCCUGCGCUCCAGAGCACCGCGCCGGGGGCCGGCGUGUGGCCGAGGGCCGGGGGCCUUCAACGGGGCAGCUGAUCUCCGUGGGGAACGUUGGUGUCGCCUCGGCCGUGGCACCGCCUCUCCGUCUGAGAUGGGCCCGUCUGCAUCGGAGACUCAUUUCCGUGGUUGAAGCCUUCACCCAGAAUCCCGGGGACUUCUCUACACGGACCAGAGAUGCGGUUUAAACCCGGUUUGUCCCCUUCAACAACACUCACUCCAGCGUUCUGAAAAACAUCCUGUACCUUCGUCCCUCUGAGAGUUCAUGCUAUAAUACGGUGGGCUAAUCGUAUUAUCUGGCGUCCCUAAGAAGGUUCAGUUCUGUGAAAUAUGGAUUGUUUUCAUCUUAGCACAGAGCCACACACACUUUCAGUCUCCUGAGUCGCCUGCCGCUGGUUGGGGCUCCUUCGGCAACUCGCGGGGCGCUGUUUGGGGCUUGCAUGUCAGGCCUCAGAGAGCAGAGUGGACACUCCACCUCCAGCGCCUCACCGGCUCCUCUAACAAGGCGGCCCCUGCCGCAAGGCCGCACCCCAGACCUCACCGGGCGGAACCUCCCGCGGCUUCAGAGGGCGCGUCUCGGGGCUUGGGGUGGGCCUGACCCAGGCGCCGACUCCUCCUGGGAGCCUCUCUCGCCGUUUUGCAGGCUUGCCGAGAGGCUUGCUCUUUACGUGACUGAAGCUGCCCCCGUUCUCUUGCCUAAUGGCUCCCUCCCUGCGGACAGUCCGCGAAAUAAUGCAC
ensembl:lncRNA